rnacentral:rRNA from 1 species
CCUACGGGGGGCAGCAGUGGGGAAUAUUGCACAAUGGGGGAAACCCUGAUGCAGCGACGCCGCGUGAGUGAAGAAGUCUUUCGGUAUUUAAAGCUCUAUCAGCAGGGAAGAAAUAGCGACCUUUGGGUCGCCAGACGGUACCUGACUAAGAAGCCCCGGCUGACUACGUUCCAGCAGCCGCGGUCAUACGAAGGGGGCAAGCGGUAUCCGGAUUUACUGGGUGUAAAGGGAGCGUAGACGGCAGCACAAGUCUGAAGUGAAAUGCCGGGGCUUAACCCCGGAACUGCUGUGGAAACUGGGCAUCUAGAGUGCAGGAGAGGUAAGCGGAAUGCGUGGUGUAGCGGUGAAAUGCGUAGAUAUUAGGAGGAACACCAGUGGCGAAGGCGGCUUACUGGACUGCAACUGACGUUGAGGCACGAAAGCGUGGGGAGCGAACAGGAUUAGAUACCCCUGUAAUC